AGCCAUUUUGGCUCAAGGUAAACGCUUGGCCCGGGCGUUUGCCUUGGCCAUUGCAGCCGUUCGGGCCGCCAAGCAGGUGUGCCCCGCCCCCCUUCGGCCUCGCUGUGUCCUCCCUUCGGCCCGCUGUUGCAGCAUGCCAUGGAGGAAGAAGGGCCAGCAGGCCAACAAGUGGAAGCCGUAGCCAUUUUGGCU
rnacentral:misc_RNA from 1 species